rnacentral:rRNA from 1 species
GAUGAACGCUAGCGGCAGGCCUAAUACAUGCAAGUCGAACGAGAUUGUUGUAGCAAUAUAACAUGAAAGUGGCGCACGGGUGCGUAACACGUAUGCAAUCUACCUUUAAUUGGAGCAUAGCCUCGAGAAAUCGGGAUUAAUACUCCAUAACAUAAUUAAGUGGCAUCAUUUGAUUAUCAAACCUCCGGGGAUUAAAGAUGAGCAUGCGCAACAUUAGCUAGUUGGUAAGGUAAUGGCUUACCAAGGCUACGAUGUUUAGGGGGUCUGAGAGGAUGAUCCCCCACACUGGUACUGAGACACGGACCAGACUCCUACGGGAGGCAGCAGUAGGGAAUAUUGGGCAAUGGAGGAAACUCUGACCCAGCCAUGCCGCGUGCAGGAUGACGGCCCUCUGGGUUGUAAACUGCUUUUAUACGGGAAGAAAAAAUACUACGUGUAGUAUACUGACGGUACCGUAAGAAUAAGGAUCGGCUAACUCCGUGCCAGCAGCCGCGGUAAUC